GAUGAACGCUGGCGGCGUGCCUAAUACAUGCAAGUCGAGCGAACAGACGAGGAGCUUGCUCCUCUGACGUUAGCGGCGGACGGGUGAGUAACACGUGGAUAACCAACUUUUAAGACGGGGAUAACUUCGGGAAACGGGAGCUAAUACGGGAAAACAGUUUGAACCGCAUGGUUCAACAGGGAAAGAGGGCUUUGCGGUCACUUAUAGAUGGAUCCGCGCCGCAUUAGCUAGUUGGUAAGGUAACGGCUUACCAAGGCAACGAUGCGUAGCCGACCUGAGAGGGUGAUCGGCCACACUGGAACUGAGACACGGUCCAGACUCCUACGGGAGGCAGCAGUAGGGAAUCUUCCGCAAUGGGCGAAAGCCUGACGGAGCAACGCCGCGUGAGUGAAGAAGGUCUUCGGAUCGUAAAACUCUGUUAUUAGGGAAGAACAAAUGUGUAAGUAACUAUGCACGUCUUGACGGUACCUAAUCAGAAAGCCACGGCUAACUACGUG
rnacentral:rRNA from 1 species